GGACUGUAGCUCAGUGGUAGAGCACUUGCCUUGCAUGUGUGAGGCACUGGGUUCAAUCCUCAGUACCA
rnacentral:tRNA from 1 species